rnacentral:rRNA from 2 species
CAGCCGCCGCGGUAAAACCAGCACCUCAAGUGGUCAGGAUGAUUAUUGGGCCUAAAGCAUCCGUAGCCGGCUCUGUAAGUUUUCGGUUAAAUCUGUACGCUCAACGUACAGGCUGCCGGGAAUACUGCAGAGCUAGGGAGUGGGAGAGGUAGACGGUACUCGGUAGGAAGGGGUAAAAUCCUUUGAUCUAUUGAUGACCACCUGUGGCGAAAGCGGUCUACCAGAACACGUCCGACGGUGAGGGAUGAAAGCUGGGGGAGCAAACCGGAUUAGAUACCCGGGUAGUCCCAGCUGUAAACUAUGCAAACUCAGUGAUGCAUUGGCUUGUGGCCAAUGCAGUGCUGCAGGGAAGCCGUUAAGUUUGCCGCCUGGGAAGUACGUACGCAAGUAUGAAACUUAAAGGAAUUGGCGGGGGAGCAC